rnacentral:rRNA from 1 species
UACGUAGGGCGCAAGCGUUGUCCGGAAUUAUUGGGCGUAAAGAGCUCGUAGGCGGCUUGUCACGUCGGGUGUGAAAGCCCGGGGCUUAACCCCGGGUCUGCAUUCGAUACGGGCUAGCUAGAGUGUGGUAGGGGGAGAUCGGAAUUCCUGGUGUAGCGGUGAAAUGCGCAGAUAUCAGGAGGAACACCGGUGGCGAAGGCGGAUCUCUGGGCCAUUACUGACGCUGAGGAGCGAAAGCGUGGGGAGCAAACAGG